CUAGGCUCAGGGAACAUGGAAGAAGAGGAGGUAGAAAGGAUGUCAGACAAAUAGGAUGGGGAGCAACAGAGUGAAAUACUGUCCUGUGGACACAGCAUGGUUAUUGCAUGAAUAAACUCACAGCCCUGUGUCCUUCUGUACAAGAUCAACCAGCCAAAACUCCCAGAAUUGAUGGACUCCUUGCCUGUGGGACUGGGCUGCAUCACCCCAGGCUGUGAAGUAGGGACCACAGCAGUACACCAAAGUCAAGGAAGAGGAAGAGAUCUUCAUGAAUCCUUUGAUGAAAAUCAGUUUUCUAUAGCUCUUCUCCAAAUCUGAAAUCUGAUGGUAUCCGGGCAACUGGUCACUAAGGUGCUAUGGCUGACCGUGACAAGGGCAUUGUUCUUGGAAGACUGAGCAGCUUCUGCCAACGCUGGUCUUCCUGUCAGUGAUUACCUGCUGGCCUGCCUAACCAGCUCCCUGGUCCUGGACUCUGUUCAUGAAGGAAGGAUAUCUCUACAACCAUGAAAACUGAGAGGUGAUCAUGACAGGUCCAGCUGCUGCAUGAGGGAGAGCCUGCUGCCAAAAAGACUUUGCUGAUCUGAACUACUCUGAUGGUGUUUGCCCUGCUUUCUCUC